CCUACGGGAGGCAGCAGUGGGGGAUAUUGGACAAUGGGGGAAACCCUGAUCCAGCGACGCCGCGUGAGUGAAGAAGUAUCUCGGUAUGUAAAGCUCUGUCAGCAGGGAAGAAAGAAAUGACGGUACCUGACCAAGAAGCCUCGGCUAACUACGUGCAAGCAGCCGCGGUAAUACGUAGGGGGCAAGCGUUAUCCGGAAUUGCUGGGUGUAAAGGGAGCGUAGGCGGUGAUGCAAGUCUGGCGUGAAAGGCGGGGGCCCAACCCCCGGACAGCGCUUGAAACUGUGUAGCUUGAGUGCGGGAGAGGUAAGCGGAAUUCGUGGUGUAGCGGUGAAAUGCGUAGAUAUUAGGAAGAACACCGAUGGCGAAGGCAGCUUACUGGACUGUAACUGACGUUGAGGCUCGAAAGCGUGGGGAGCGAACAGGAUUAGAUACCCCGGUAGUC
rnacentral:rRNA from 1 species